ACGAGCGCAACCCUUAUCCUUUGUUGCCAGCGGUCCGGCCGGGAACUCAAAGGAGACUGCCAGUGAUAAACUGGAGGAAGGUGGGGAUGACGUCAAGUCAUCAUGGCCCUUACGACCAGGGCUACACACGUGCUACAAUGGCGCAUACAAAGAGAAGCGACCUCGCGAGAGCAAGCGGACCUCAUAAAGUGCGUCGUAGUCCGGAUUGGAGUCUGCAACUCGACUCCAUGAAGUCGGAAUCGCUAGUAAUCGUGGAUCAGAAUGCCACGGUGAAUACGUUCCCGGGCCUUGUACACACCGCCCGUCACACCAUGGGAGUGGGUUGCAAAAGAAGUAGGUAGCUUAACCUUCGGGAGGGCGCUUACCACUUUGUGAUUCAUGACUGGGGUGAAGUCGUAACAAGGUAACCGUAGGGGAACCUGCGGUUGGA
rnacentral:rRNA from 2 species